ACAGGUAUUCUAGUACAAUGUGGCCGAGCCGCAUCACCGAGCGUUUACGCUAGUCUGCAAUGUUCCACAAGUGAUUUCGGCCCACGACCGUGUACUUUCGUCUGAGAAGAAAUUCAGACGUGGCUUCCGGGAAACGUGAGAUAGAAGAAAGAGGAUGAGCCAACUAGAAUUAUUCAUAGCAGUGCAGAACAUAGUGUAUCGACUAGUGUCAAGACCCCGCCACGACAGAACAAUAACUUCGUCGAAGUGAUCGCAGCGACGGCAACCCUUCCUCGGUCAGGCGCCCCUGCACUGACGGUUCCGCUCCGAUAAAGAAGCUGCUAGAACGGUAAAUCACCAUAAGGCACAGAUGGCUGGCCUGCGGCAGCUGACAGAGGAAGUGCGCAGCCUGUGGGACAUACAGCAGCAGUGCCUCGAGGAGGAGCGACGGUCUCAGGGGACGAAUCAACACCUCCUGCAGCUGUUGCUGGCUGCACUUGCUCAUGGUGCAAGCCAAGCCCCUCACCCAUUUCAGGCCCCUCAUUAAAUGUAAAGAAGCAUAGGCAAGGAAUUUUUCAUCACAUUUUUUAAUCGCUUUAAAAAAUUCACUGAUGUAGUAAUGAUGAUAGACUAUUGCUGGUUUGCAACAAACAAUUGCUUAUGUCACCCUUUAAUGCAACCACAAAUAGCAUAGCAGAUGCAGCAUGAUUUCGUGCUUGAAUUGAUACUGCAGCAAUAGGCGUGUCCACGCCAUCAGGCUCACCUGCACAAGUGCCAGUAAGCCUGGUGGUGCGAGCAUUCUGACUGUGGCAUUGAAAUUUCCAGGCACCUCAUUGCUGUCAUGUCAAUGUGCGCAUGAGGCCACACCACAAUUUCAUCUUGUCUCACAAAUAGUGGCGAUCACUUCUUGAGAGGCGGGAGAAUUCGGACAUUAAUAUAACAUUGAAAGCAAUCUAUGAACACACACACACACAGAAACGUGAUGAGAAUUCCUUGGCUGUACUCCAUUUCAUUUGUAUAUUUGUGACUAUCAAAGUAUGACAUUGUUUUUUUUUUUUUUUUUGCAACUCCACGACAGCAUGUUCCUUUCACAUGUGGUGAUGUGCUUGCACAUCUGGCUGUGAUAAAUAUGGUUCUGUUGGUGCGUGGUAAUUAAUGCACCUGUACAUUCUUUUCUGGGACAGUUUAAACUGGGUGCUAUUUUUGUGUAACUAUGGUUUGCACAGUAGUUUUGUGAAACAAUGUGUGCCCUAAUUGUGAUAUUUUAGAUGCAAGUGCAAGGGGAUGUGAUACUUAUACAAGGUGAUGCGAUAUAUGCUGCAUGUCUCUACUACUGCAGCCUGAUGAUUUUCACAGUUCUUUAAUGUAAUUGCCAUUGCAUGCGAUGUGUGCAUAAACACGUUUUACUUUAAAAAGGGGCUGUAGGUUGAAGAAUAAAGAAAG